CUGGUAUCUCUUCCUCAAAAUGACCCGGGCUUGGAUGAAGGUGUGGGUGUCGAGCCUGCUGAGCUGUGAGCCUGCUCCAGGCACUGCUGUCCUUGGUGCCCUGAGGUCUACACCUGUGGAACCAGGCGGUUGCUGCUCUGUGAUGUGAAUCAGCCUAGUGACACCAGCUCCCAUGGGAGAAGUGCCUGGUGAGUCCUCCCCAUGGC
rnacentral:lncRNA from 1 species